rnacentral:rRNA from 1 species
GACGAACGCUGGCGGCGUGCCUAAUACAUGCAAGUAGAACGCUGAAGGAGGAGCUUGCUUCUCUGGAUGAGUUGCGAACGGGUGAGUAACGCGUAGGUAACCUGCCUGGUAGCGGGGGAUAACUAUUGGAAACGAUAGCUAAUACCGCAUAAGAGUAGAUGUUGCAUGACAUUUGCUUAAAAGGUGCAAUUGCAUCACUACCAGAUGGACCUGCGUUGUAUUAGCUAGUUGGUGGGGUAACGGCUCACCAAGGCGACGAUACAUAGCCGACCUGAGAGGGUGAUCGGCCACACUGGGACUGAGACACGGCCCAGACUCCUACGGGAGGCAGCAGGAGGGAAUCUUCGGCAAUGGACGGAAGUCUGACCGAGCAACGCCGCGUGAGUGAAGAAGGGUUUCGGAUCGUAAAGCUCUGUUGUAAGAGAAGAACGAGUGUGAGAGUGGAAAGUUCACACUGUGACGGUAGCUUACCAGAAAGGGACGGCUAACUACGUG